AUCAUCAUAGGAUGAAAUCAGGAAUAAUCUUAGGACACCUUCCUACACAGCUCCACCUGCUGUGGAUGAGAAGAACUUUCCGUUCUGAUGAUGAU